AUUGAACGCUGGCGGCAGGCCUAACACAUGCAAGUCGAACGAGUGGCGGACGGGUGAGUAAUGUCUGGGCAACUGCCUGGUGGAUGGGGAUCACUACUGGAAACGGUAGCUGAAAACGCAUGCCAUCAACUGGACCCAGAUGGGAGGUGCGUGGUGUUGGGGUCACGGCUCACAAAGGCGACGAUCACUAGCUGGUAUGAGAGGAUGACCAUCCACACUGGAACGGAGACACGGUCCAGACGCCUACGGGAGGCAGCAGUGGGGAAUAUUGCACAAUGGGCGAAAGCCUGAUGCAGCCAUGCGGCGUGGAUGAAGAAGGCCUUCGGGUUGUAAAGUACUUUCAGCGGGGAGGCGUUACCCGCAGAAGAAGCACCGGCUAACUCCGUGCCAGCAGCCGCGGUAAUUC
rnacentral:rRNA from 1 species